rnacentral:rRNA from 1 species
UUCAGUAAAACGUUUCACUUAUAAAACCGGUUACUCACUAAAGCUAAGCAGGGCUGAGCCUGGUCAGUACCUGGAUGGGAGACCACAUGGGAAAACUAGGUUGCUGUUGGAA